rnacentral:rRNA from 1 species
AUGCUCGGGUCGACAUGCGAAUACCAUCGCGAGGCUGAGGUCAUUGUUCACUUGUUGGACGGCGAAACUGCAGUAGCCAGUCUCCUCUACCUCCAGGAGCACUAUGAAUUUGCUCUUUAUGAGGUUGUAGUGGACAAACCGGUUCAGUUGUCCACUUUUAACGACAACGUGCAUUCUGGUCAAGACGCUUUCCGACUUGGAAGAGAUGAAAGUCUUGAUCUAAGGAUAACACAUGGUAGGGUGGAAUAUAAAAUUCCAACCCGUCACGAGAGAGGUCACUACAUGUAUUUUUCCCACGAUGAGCAUAAAAGUUUGCAUGACGAUGGAGGCCCUGUCAUUGACUUAGACGGCAAGGUUGUGGGAAUGGUUCACAAUCAAUUCAAAGAGACCUUUUUACCUUCUUCUAUAUUGCACAAGUGCUUGGAUUCUUGGAGAAAGUUGAAGUGCAUCCCUCGUGCCCACCUUGGAAUGACCUUUACUCCCAUCAAGCUUCUAGAUCCUAUUUGUAUUGAGAGGAUGAGGCGUAAGCAUAACAUUGCAUCUGGUCUUCUUGUUGAACAGGUGUCAAAAGAAUCGAAUGCUGAGAAACUUGGAAUCCGCAUGGGUGAUGUUAUUGAACGCUUCAAUGGAGAGUGUAUUUCUAAUACAACUGAGUUGGAAAAGAUGUUGCUGGAUAUAGGCGGAGACCAUUUUGAUCAAGCAAAAGUCUUAAAGACCGAAACAGAUCUUCGAAUUCAAAUAUUUCGUGCCACAAAACGUUGCCGAAGAGUUAGAAAUUUGACCGUAACUGUAUCGGAUCGUGGAGAGGACAUCAUAGAAGGCACUUACCCUAUUACUGAUGGCCUUUGGAGAUGA